CUGCCCGUCAAAGCCUUGCGCAUGUGCGCAGCGGACCCGAGGCCUAUUGGGUAGUGAGAGCGUGCUCUCCCGACCAAUCAGAGGAGGCCCUCGGCCUCGGCUCUCCCCACCCCACCACGCGGCCUGCGGGGUGGCACUCCAGCCCCCCCCAGGUACCGGUGGAGCACGGCUGCCCACUUCCAGUUCUCCCCAUGGCCACGACCACAGCGUUCCCCCAUCCCGAAGAGAUCCUAAAUGCCGCUCCGUGGCAACCUCCGUGAAUUCGCAGGCUUCCACCUCGCUCAGAGUUCUCCUUCGAAGGAGGCACUGGAGACCCUCAUUCAACCCGUUAAUGCCCUGCGGACUUUGGGGGGCAUACAUUUACUGAGAAGAUACCUGCCAACAAUUCAGGACAAGAGCAGUAGUCCUAAAUGCUGACUGGAACCUUGGAGCAGUGUGUGGGUAGAGCUCAUUAACUCUUACCUGUCCAGUGGCUUCAUCAGGGUGCUAGUUUUUGAAGGGCUUCGGUAUUUUCUCUGGGACUGCAGAUUGUCUGGGAACAAUUUUCCAAUGGGUGGAGAGCUCUUCUCCAGGUACCUUUACAGGAAGACCCUUCUCCCUGGAUUGCUGUUCACCAAGCCUCCUGCUGUGCUACAGGUGCUGAGGAUUGAACCCAGGGCCUCAGGCAUGCUCAGGGUGCACUCUGCCACUAAGCUAUACCACCAGUCUUCUGGAUUUGAGCUACCUGUGAUGCCUAUGUUUCAGUCGACCUUUGUCCCAGAAAGUUCAGGUACACUUUUACAGUUACAAAUUGACUGGGUUAAGAGAGACCAGCCCAACAAGACCACAGGGGUUGGAGAAAGGCAAGGCAGAUGGAGGAGGCAGCCCAGGUUGGGGUCCCCAGCCAGUUCUGGGUAUCAGAAGAGGUAGAUUCAAGGAGGUUGGAGCUGAGGAACAAGAACACAGCCCAAAGGUGAGAAAGAGCUCAAGGAGAGGCUGGUGGGGAGACAGGACACUGGAUCCAGCCUAAGGGGUCAGGAGGGCUUAGGACAUAAACUGGGUGAUCCAGGAAAUUCUGCCCAAGGCACAGGAAAUAUUUCAUGAGUGGAUACACACUUGUUCAACAGAUGCCUUUGGUCCUUAAUCUCAUGAGUUCCCUAGAAGUACCUCUGUGGCAGGGUGGGGUUUGUCUGUAUUUCACAGCUUUGCAGACUGACUUCAUACAGGAGGGGUGGACAACAGUCUCAGGAGGCUUCAAGGCAGAAGAUGGGUAUGGCCCAAGUGGUUGAUAAGCAGGACAGCUGGGUCUUACGUUCUUUGAGUAUAGGAGAGGACUGCAGGGUCUUAAGGUGAUGGGGCUGGUGUACCUACUGGGCUGGAGUCAACCUUGCUAGGAUACCACAUACGGCUGCCCCAGCUGUGCCUUAGCAGGAGUACAUAUUCUGUCCCAGUUUCUCCCCCCCCCCCCCCCCCAUUGACUGGAUCCCCAAAGGCUCAUCUCCCAGGAGAGCUGCUGCUCAGGGGAAGGCAGCAGCUUCCACCCAGAUCUCCUUGCUUCCUCCACCAACCUGCAACCACCAAUGGGACACAGGUGUCCCAGUCCCACACUGGGCUGCAGACAAGCCGCAUAUUCACCCUGUACUUUCUCUAGGGGACUCAGGUUGAAACUCUGGGACGAAGACACCCUGAUGACACAUCUGUGUUAUGUGUGUUUAAUACUGUCUGCAUUGCAUUAGAGUGAAACAAGCACCAGGCUAUUAUUGUUCACAAUGUUUAAAAAGAAACCUUUACUAGGGAGACAUCUGAACACCCCUGGAGCCAAGAGAAGAGGCUGAGGCCAUGGACUUCCACAUGCCUGUACACAAAAUUAUAACUUACAUCCAUUUCAAGUUGUAAAUGCUAUCGUUUUGGGUCCCCCCCCCCCUUUCUCCUCUGGGUUAAAAAGACCGCUGCCUACCCUGGCAGUGAAGCCCCAGAUCAGGAGAGGGCCUGGUCUGCUUAACCAUAUAGGAAUCAAAUGGCCCCACUCCAUCCAUCUGUCCUCAGCAUUAAGGGGCAUUAUACUGGGGAAGUGGCUUCAGAAGAAGGCUGAACAUUACAUAGGCUUAAGUAAUGACAAGGCCUUCUUGUUCAGCUGUUUGUCCACUUUCCAACCAAGGUAGAACAGGUCAUGUAGCCACCAAACCCAACAAAAAUGAGCAACCCUGUCUUGUUUCCUCUGCAGUUCUCAUCAGUGCUUUGGAUGUAAAGAUUCCUCAUUUAAAAAAAAAAAAAAUCCUCAUAACAUUGACUUUGGUAACAG